AUGGUUUUUACUUUACUGGUAUGCAGGAUAGAUGCUUGCUUUUAGUUUUAUCUCAGAAACCAAUACUACUCCAUUUGUUAGUUUGAGCAAAGUGCUGAAGUUCAAAAAAACUCUAUUCACAGGCUCAUUUGGAUAUGCAAUGUACCUACAACUAGAUCAUUAUCAAAAUUUGUACCUGCCAGAAAGCAGUCUGUCAAAAUCACUCAGCUUCAGUUCUUUCUUCGAGCAGUCCACAGCCAAAACCAUUUGACCCAUCCAAAAUUUCCACUCCAAUUGAAGAUACUAUGCACUUUGACAUUCAAGAACCAGAGCUUCGAAUAACAUACAAGCGCUGAACACCUAAAGGGGAGCCAGACAGGUACAAUGUAAUCACUACUACAGACAUAGGAAAAUCUCAAGUUGCCACUCCCACAGAACUACCUUUUAGUUCAAGCAAAAUUUCGAACAAAAAGAGAAUUAUGUGGGGUUUCACAAAUCCACUGGGAAAAGGAAAACGAUGGAAGAACCUUCAAGCUCGAAAAGACGCGACAGCGGAGGGAAUGGGCCUCUGACUGAGUGGAGAAGGUUUGAAGAAUCUGAAGGAACAGUUACAUUAUAUCUUUCUAAAGUGACUUCCCAACUGUGCAAGUCGUUGUUAUGAAAGUACAGAAGAAGUAUUUGUUGAUUAUACAAUCUGCAAUAAACUUCAUAUCAAAUUGUUAAGAGGAAAGUCCAAGGCUUACUGCUGCAUUGUAUGUUCAAGAGUAUUUCUAUUGCCACACACUGCAGUUAAAAGCCAAGAUGCUUUGUAGCUUUUCUACCAUGUUGGAUGCAGCACUUCAGGAUCCCCACAAAGCAUGGGUCCGUGAUCAGUUAAAGGGUUCUGCUUUCGAAAUUCGAGGACUCUAUUGAACAUUUGGAAACAAAUGUGAAGUUGAUGGAUGAGAAUGUUCAGCGUGAUAUAAAUAAACAAAAGGAAGAACAUCUCCAGCAUCUCGCGAAAUUUCACCAUGGUCAGAAUGAAUUCCAGGCUUGUAACGUCGAUGAAAUGAAGGAGGAGUUCGAGAAUCUCAAGCUUACAGUCUCUGAAGCGGAAGCCUACCUGAAUUCGUUAACUAAACUUGCCGGUUCUUGUAAUGAGACAUUGGAACUAUGGAUGUGCUUUAUUUUACACUACAUCUUAACUUUAUAAUGUCUUUGAACAUGAUUAUGCCUUUUGUUGGAACAAGGGCCAGUGUUUACUGCUUUCUGAAUCCUGCAACUCGGUUUUUUCUGAAUACAUUCGAGUAUGUGGGUGGACUAGUUUGGCGUGUAUUCUAGCAUUUCAC